GUCUACGGCCACGCCCCCCUGAACGAGCCCGACCGCGUCUGAUCUCGGAGGCUCAGCAGAGUCGGGCCUGGUUAGUCCUUGGAUGGGAGACCGCCUAGGAAGACCAGGCGUGGUAGGCA
rnacentral:rRNA from 1 species